rnacentral:rRNA from 1 species
UCCAGACUCCUACGGGAGGCAGCAGUGGGGAAUAUUGCACAAUGGGGGAAACCCUGAUGCAGCGACGCCGCGUGAGUGAAGAAGUAUCUCGGUACGUAAAGCUCUAUCAGCAGGGAAGAAAAUGACGGUACCUGACUAAGAAGCCCCGGCUAACUACGUGCCAGCAGCCGCGGUAAUACGUAGGGGGCAAGCGUUAUCCGGAUUUAUUGGGUGUAAAGGGUGCGUAGACGGGAAAUUAAGUUAGUUGUGAAAUCCCUCGGCUCAACUGAGGAACUGCAACUAAAACUGAUUUUCUUGAGUGCAGGAGAGGUAAGUGGAAUUCCUAGUGUAGCGGUGAAAUGCGUAGAUAUUAGGAGGAACACCAGUGGCGAAGGCGACUUACUGGACUGUAACUGACGUUGAGGCACGAAAGUGUGGGGAGCAAACAGGAUUAGAUACCCGAGUA